rnacentral:rRNA from 1 species
CUGUCUGAAUAUGGGGGGACCAUCCUCCAAGGCUAAAUACUCCUGACUGACCGAUAGUGAACCAGUACCGUGAGGGAAAGGCGAAAAGAACCCCGGCGAGGGGAGUGAAAAAGAACCUGAAACCGUGUACGUACAAGCAGUGGGAGCACCCUUUGGGGUGUGACUGCGUACCUUUUGUAUAAUGGGUCAGCGACUUAUAUUCUGUAGCAAGGUUAACCGUAUAGGGGAGCCGGAGGGAAACCGAGUCUUAACCGGGCGUUAAGUUGCAGGGUAUAGACCCGAAACCCGGUGAUCUAGCCAUGGGCAGGUUGAAGGUUGGGUAACACUAACUGGAGGACCGAACCGACUAAUGUUGAAAAAUUAGCGGAUGACCUGUGGCUGGGGGUGAAAGGCCAAUCAAACCGGGAGAUAGCUGGUUCUCCCCGAAAGCUAUUUAGGUAGCGCCUCGUGAAUUCAUCUCCGGGGGUAGAGCACUGUUUCGGCUAGGGGGCCAUCCCGGCUUACCAACCCGAUGCAAACUGCGAAUACCGGAGAAUGUUAUCACGGGAGACACACGGCGGGUGCUAACGUCCGUCGUGAAGAGGGAAACAACCCAGACCGCCAGCUAAGGUCCCAAAGUCAUGGUUAAGUGGGAAACGAUGUGGGAAGGCCCAGACAGCCAGGAUGUUGGCUUAGAAGCAGCCAUCAUUUAAAGAAAGCGUAAUAGCUCACUGGUCGAGUCGGCCUGCGCGGAAGAUGUAACGGGGCUAAACCAUGCACCGAAGCUGCGGCAGCGACACUCAGGUGUUGUUGGGUAGGGGAGCGUUCUGUAAGCCUGCGAAGGUGGCCUGUGAGGGUUGCUGGAGGUAUCAGAAGUGCGAAUGCUGACAUAAGUAACGAUAAAGCGGGUGAAAAGCCCGCUCGCCGGAAGACCAAGGGUUCCUGUCCAACGUUAAUCGGGGCAGGGUGAGUCGACCCCUAAGGCGAGGCCGAAAGGCGUAGUCGAUGGGAAACGGGUUAAUAUUCCCGUACUUGGUGUUACUGCGAAGGGGGGACGGAGAAGGCUAUGUUGGCCGGGCGACGGUUGUCCCGGUUUAAGCGUGUAGGUGUGUGUUCCAGGUAAAUCCGGUUCACUUUAACACUGAGGCGUGACGACGAGGCACUACGGUGCUGAAGCAACAAAUGCCCUGCUUCCAGGAAAAGCCUCUAAGCAUCAGGUAACAUCAAAUCGUACCCCAAACCGACACAGGUGGUCAGGUAGAGAAUACCAAGGCGCUUGAGAGAACUCGGGUGAAGGAACUAGGCAAAAUGGUGCCGUAACUUCGGGAGAAGGCACGCUGACACGUAGGUGAAGUGAUUUACUCACGGAGCUGAAGUCAGUCG